UUACAAUGAAGAGUUUGAUCCUGGCUCAGGAUGAACGCUAGCUACAGGCUUAACACAUGCAAGUCGAGGGGCAGCAUUCUUCUAGCAAUAGAAGAGAUGGCGACCGGCGCACGGGUGAGUAACACGUAUCCAACCUACCGAUAACUCUGGAAUAGCCUUUCGAAAGAAAGAUUAAUACCGGAUAGCAUACGAAUAUCGCAUGAUAUUUUUAUUAAAGAAUUUCGGUUAUCGAUGGGGAUGCGUUCCAUUAGUUUGUUGGCGGGGUAACGGCCCACCAAGACUACGAUGGAUAGGGGUUCUGAGAGGAAGGUCCCCCACAUUGGAACUGAGACACGGUCCAAACUCCUACGGGAGGCAGCAGUGAGGAAUAUUGGUCAAUGGACGAGAGUCUGAACCAGCCAAGUAGCGUGAAGGAUGAAGGCUCUAUGGGUCGUAAACUUCUUUUAUAUGGGAAUAAAGUUUUCCACGUGUGGAAUUUUGUAUGUACCAUAUGAAUAAGGAUCGGCUAACUCCGUGCCAGCAGCCGCGGUAAUACGGAGGAUCCGAGCGUUAUCCGGAUUUAUUGGGUUUAAAGGGAGCGUAGGUGGAUUGUUAAGUCAGUUGUGAAAGUUUGCGGCUCAACCGUAAAAUUGCAGUUGAAACUGGCAGUCUUGAGUACAGUAGAGGUGGGCGGAAUUCGUGGUGUAGCGGUGAAAUGCUUAGAUAUCACGAAGAACUCCGAUUGCGAAGGCAGCUCACUAGACUGUUACUGACACUGAUGCUCGAAAGUGUGGGUAUCAAACAGGAUUAGAU
rnacentral:rRNA from 1 species